rnacentral:rRNA from 1 species
UACGUAGGUGGCGAGCGUUGUCCGGAAUUACUGGGUGUAAAGGGUGCGUAGGCGGGCAGGCAAGUUGGAUGUGAAAUACCGGGGCUUAACUCCGGGGCUGCAUCCAAAACUGCAUGUCUUGAGUGAAGUAGAGGCAAGCGGAAUUCCCAGUGUAGCGGUGAAAUGCGUAGAGAUUGGGAGGAACACCAGUGGCGAAGGCGGCUUGCUGGGCUUUAACUGACGCUGAUGCACGAAAGCAUGGGGAGCAAACAGG